GAUGAACGCUGGCGGCGUGCUUAACACAUGCAAGUCGAACGGGAAAUAUUUCAUUGAGCCUUCGGUGGAUUUGAUUUAUUUCUAGUGGCGGACGGGUGAGUAACGCGUGGGUAACCUGCCUUAUACAGGGGGAUAACAGUCAGAAAUGGCUGCUAAUACCGCAUAAGCGCACAGAGCUGCAUGGCUCAGUGUGAAAAACUCCGGUGGUAUAAGAUGGACCCGCGUUGGAUUAGCUAGUUGGUGGGGUAACGGCCCACCAAGGCGACGAUCCAUAGCCGGCCUGAGAGGGUGAACGGCCACAUUGGGACUGAGACACGGCCCAGACUCCUACGGGAGGCAGCAGUGGGGAAUAUUGCACAAUGGGGGAAACCCUGAUGCAGCGACGCCGCGUGAAGGAAGAAGUAUCUCGGUAUGUAAACUUCUAUCAGCAGGGAAGAUAGUGACGGUACCUGACUAAGAAGCCCCGGCUAACUACGUG
rnacentral:rRNA from 1 species